rnacentral:lncRNA from 1 species
UGCUGCUGCUGCAGAAUUUAACCCGUGCGGUCCCGGUCCGUCCAGGCUGCCGGCACUGCGGAGAAAACCGACCCCGCUCCGCUCACGACACUCAACACACCGAACAGCGCAGCCUGGCCUCGCUUUCCGGGCGGCGCGUUCGGCCAUCUCCGGAGGCGCUCGGCUUUUUCCGGGCGCUGCCUGCGGCUGUGGGCUCGGCUCUCCCCGGCAGGAAACGUCCUGCUUCUCGGCGGAGAUCGUGUCUCUUCUGAGCCCCGAAACAGAACACGAGGGAGGCUGGAGACCAGCCGCCUGUCUCUAGACGCCCAGACGCUGAAUUAUUCACCACCGGCGCAGAGAGGCUGUGUUUCCGGGAGGGAGUCGGCGCUACACGCUGUCUGUGCAAUAAUACGAUUAAUAAUGUCCGUUGCGUUACAAUAAUAAUACCAUAAGAAGUGAAUUUCUACACAUAGCAGUCUGUUCUCACACCCUGUGGUGCUUGGGCCAUACAAACAUGUUUUUGUACAAGGCGAUACGUUUCAACUAAAUGAAUAUGCGAACAAUAUAUUGUGAAUGUAUUGGAGAAUAUUGGGAAUGAUGUCUCGUCAAAUACAUUUAAGACGCUCUGUUACAGUAUCUUGACCGGCGAUCUCUGGACUGGAGGGGUACAGUGUGACCCAGACUGGACCAGUGAUCU